rnacentral:lncRNA from 1 species
CUGUUCCUGCCACUCGCGUACUAAGAUGAGUCACAUUUUCAGGGAAAAGCUUUGCCAGACCAAAAUCGCCAAUUUUAGGUUGAAGGUUUUCAUCAAUAAGGACAUUACUGGCCUUAAUAUCUCGAUGAACAAUUGGUGGUGUUGCUUCCUCAUGAAGAAAUGCUAAACCAGAUGCUGUACCUAAACAUAUAGCAACUCUCUUGGGCCAAUCCAGGGCAACGCGUUUACCUUUAGAACCUGCAAUGACAAUUUACACAUUGGUGGUUAGCCAUGCACUUGGAUUUACAUUCCUUAAGAAAGUGAAAUACAACAACCCAAAAUCGCCAAUUUUAGGUUGAAGGUUUUCAUCAAUAAGGACAUUACUGGCCUUAAUAUCUCGAUGAACAAUUGGUGGUGUUGCUUCCUCAUGAAGAAAUGCUAAACCAGAUGCUGUACCUAAACAUAUAGCAACUCUCUUGGGCCA